UGAUCCCGCCGGACCUCACUGCUAUCGAGGUGGGACUAAGCCAUGCUAGUCGUACGCCCAGAACCAUGUCUGGGAGUGGCGUACUGCUCAGUAACACGUAGCUAACCUGCCCUUAGGACGGGUAUAACCCCGAGAAAUUGGGGCUAAUGCCCGAUAGGUGUGAUGUCCUGGAAUGGUAUCACGCCCAAAGGUCCCAGCAGCAUGUUGUUGUUACGCCUAAGGAUGGGGCUGCGGCCGAUCAGGCAGUUGGUGAGGUAAUGGCUCACCAAACCUUUGACCGGUACGGGCCAUGAGAGUGGUAGCCCGGAGAUGGAUACUGAGACAAGGAUCCAGGCCCUACGGGGCGCAGCAGGCGCGAAACCUCCUCAAUGCACUCACGUGCGAAGGGGUUACCUCGAGUGCCAUCUGAAGAAGGUGGCCUUUCCUUGGUCUAAAUAGCCUUGGGAAUAAGAGGGGGGCAAGACUGGUGUCAGCCGCCGCGGUAACACCAGCCCCUCGAGUGGUGGGGAUGAUUAUUUGGCCUAAAGCGUCCGUAGCCGGCCGAGUAAGUUUCCCGUUAAAUCCAGCGUCUCAAGCGUUGGACUGCGGGAAAUACUGCCCGGCUAGAGAGUGGGAGAGGUAAGCGGUAUUCUGGGGGUAGGGGCGAAAUCCUUUGAUCCCCGGAGGACCCAGUGGCGAAGGCUGCUUACUAGAACACGUCUGACGGUCAGGGACGAAAGCUGGGGUAGCGAACCGGAUUAGAUACCCGGGUAGUCCCAGCUGUAAACGAUGCACGCUAGGUGUUGGGUCGGCCACGCGCCGCCCCAGUGCCGCAGGGAAGCCGUUAAGCGUGCCGCCUGGGGAGUACGGCCGCAAGGCUGAAACUUAAAGGAAUUGGCGGGGGAGCACCACCAGGCGUG
rnacentral:rRNA from 1 species